UCGCCCUGUCACAUCAUCCUACAAUGAGGCUAGGGCCAUGGGAUCUAGUGACCCCAAGCCUCAGCGCUGGUGGAUUCGAUUGUACUA
rnacentral:pre_miRNA from 1 species